rnacentral:rRNA from 1 species
UACAGAGGUCUCAAGCGUUGUUCGGAUUCAUUGGGCGUAAAGGGUGCGUAGGUGGCGCCGUAAGUCAGGUGUGAAAUUUCGGAGCUUAACUCCGAAACUGCACUUGAUACUGCGGUGCUUGAGGACUGGAGAGGAGACUGGAAUUCACGGUGUAGCAGUGAAAUGCGUAGAUAUCGUAAGGAAGGCCGGUGGCGAAAGCGAGCCUCUGGACAGUUACUGACGCUGAUGCACGAAGGCCAGGGGAGCAAACGGG